rnacentral:rRNA from 1 species
GACGAACGCUGGCGGCGUGCUUAACACAUGCAAGUCGAACGAUGAAGAAAAGAAUCGAAGCUUCGGCAGAAAUUCAUUUCGGAUUAGUGGCAGACGGGUGAGUAACGCGUGAGCAACCUACCUCUUACUAAGGGAUAGCCUCGGGAAACCGGGAUUAAUACCAUAUAACAUUGUGACGAAGCAUUUCGAUGCAAUCAAAGCUACGGCGGUAAGAGAUGGGCUCGCGUCCCAUUAACCGGAUGGUGAGGUAACGGCUCACCAUAGUGACGAUGGGUAACCGGCCUGAGAGGGUGAACGGUCACACUGGAACUGAGACACGGUCCAGACUCCUACGGGAGGCAGCAGUGGGGAAUAUUGCACAAUGGAGGGAACUCUGAUGCAGCGACGCCGCGUGAGUGAUGAAGUAAUUCGUUUCGUAAAACUCUGUUCUAUGGGAAGAAAAGGACUGUACCAUAGGAGAAAGCUCCGGCUAAAUACGUG